GGGAAWUKKGCCCCYWWGUUAACGGGCCGAGUGAAGCGGCAACAGCUCAAAUUUGAAAUCUGGCGCAAGCCCGAGUUGUAAUUUGUAGAGGAUGCUUCUGGCCAGCGGCCGUUCUAAGUUCCUUGGAACAGGACGUCAUAGAGGGUGAGAAUCCCGUAUGUGACCGGCGCGCAGCCUUUACGUAGCUCCUUCGACGAGUCGAGUUGUUUGGGAAUGCAGCUCUAAAUGGGAGGUAAAUUUCUUCUAAAGCUAAAUACCGGCCAGAGACCGAUAGCGCACAAGUAGAGUGAUCGAAAGAUGAAAAGCACUUUGGAAAGAGAGUUAAAAAGCACGUGAAAUUGUUGAAAGGGAAGCGCUUGCAACCAGACUUCGUAGCGAUGUUCCGCCGGUCUUCUGACCGGUCUACUCAUCGUCGCGAGGCCAACAUCGUCUGGGGCCGCCGGAUAAGACCUAAGGAAUGUAGCUUCCCUCGGGAAGUGUUAUAGCCUUUGGUGAUGCGGCGCGUCUCGGGCGAGGUCCGCGCUUCGGCAAGGAUGUUGGCGUAAUGGUUGUCAGCGGCCCGUCUUGAAACACGGACAYACAAGU
rnacentral:rRNA from 1 species